rnacentral:rRNA from 1 species
GACGGAGGGUGCAAGCGUUAUUCGGAUUCACUGGGCGUAAAGGGUGCGCAGGCGGCCAAGUGUGUUAGGCGUGAAAGCCCGGGGCUUAACCUCGGAAUUGCACCUAAAACUACAUGGCUAGAGCAUUGGAGGGGGUAGCGGAAUUCACGGUGUAGCAGUGAAAUGCGUAGAUAUCGUGAGGAACACCAGAGGCGAAGGCGGCUACCUAGACAAUUGCUGACGCUCAGGCACGAAAGCGUGGGGAGCAAAAGGG